GGGGUUGUAGCUCAGUGGUAGAGCAUCACUUAGCAUGUGUGGAGCCCUGAGUUCAAUCCUCAGCACCA
rnacentral:tRNA from 1 species